UAACAAUACUUUGAUUUUGAUUAUUUUCAAUUAGAAAAGUCCAAGUUAUUCUUGUGAAACACAAUAAAGAUGAAACGCUUCAUUUUAUGUGUUGGUGUAGAUGGCAAAGGCCGUGAUGGAGGACUUUCCGGCAUUGCCAGUUAUGUCCUUUGGGACAUCCAAGAAGGAGAUGGCAUUUGAGAGGACAAAGCUUGCACUAUCUUUACUCAGUGGUUCAGUGUUUGACAUGAACAACCACUGUGCUAUGUGCUCGACCUCAAAGCCCCCAGGAUCAGGGCCUCCAACUACUGACAGG